rnacentral:lncRNA from 1 species
ACAAGGGGAUAGGGAUUUAGCAGGGAUGAUUAAGUUAAGGACCUUGACAUGGGGAGAUUUUCCAUGAUUAUCAAGUGGACUCAAUCUAAUACAUGAAUUCUCAGAGGUGGAGAUCCUUUCUUGGCUCUGAUCAGAGGGACUUGUCAUGAAGAAGACUGGUCAGAGAGAUGCAGAUUUGCUUCAAAGAUGGAAGGAGGGGGCCACUUGCCAAGGAAUGUUGGUGGCCUCUAGCAGCUGGAAAAGGCCAAUGGGUUCUUCCUCAGGGCCUCUAGAAAGGAAUCUAGACCCACCAACACUUGAAUCUUUGUCCAGUGUCCUACGUCUGACCCACUAAACUGUAAGAUAAUACAUUUGUGUAUGCCACUAAGUUGGUGGUAAUUUGUUACAGCAGCAAUACAGAACAAUUGCAGUUGAUCACGUGGUUAUCUUAGUAUCUCAUGAAUAUUCUACAAUAAUAUAAGCAACACAUUUAAAGAGCCUUCUUAAGGAUAUAUGUUUGUAUAGUGCUUCUCAGCAGAGACUCUUGGAAGCUGUCAUUAGACUUUGUGGAGUGAAGAGCACAGUGUUGGCUAGAGAGAGGGGAUGUUCUUCACUAAACUGAAGUUCUAGGAGCACAGAUUGAUGAUUUAUUCUUCCUUGUUGUUAAAGAUUAUUGAGUUUAGGAUUGGUAGCUGUAAAGUGCUUAUUCUGAUGGCUGGCACACAUUGGCUGUUUAACCAAUGGUCAUAAAGAUAAAGAUUUUUAAACUGUUGUGUUUCAAUUAUUUGGCAAAACUAUCUUUUUUUUUUUUUUUUUUUUUUGUCUUUUUGCCAUUUCUUGGGCCACUCCCGCUGCAUAUGGAGGUUCCCAGGCCAGGGGUCAAAUUGGAGCUGUAGCCACCGGCCUACUUCAGAGCCACAGCAAGGUGGGAUUCGAGCUGCAUCUGCGACCUACACCACAGCUCACGGCAACACUGGAUUCUUAACCCACUGAGCAAGGCCAGGGAUCAAACCUGCAACCUCAUGGUUCUUAGUCAGAUUCGUUAACCACUGUACCACGAAGGGAACUCCAAAACUAUCUCUCUUAUUAGCAUACAUAGCUGGACACAUGGGCAAAAAUACAAUUUGUCUCCUGUGAAAGCUAAACCCUCUUCUUCAAAAAGAGAGAGGUAAAAUCUAUAGUAGUGGGAGACAGCCUUGUCGAGUAAUUAGAGUCAAGCCUUGGAGUGAGAUUGCUUUUAUUUGAAUCCCAGUUCCACCACUAAUUACUUUAUAACUUCAUUGUUUUCACCCCUGAAGUGGGUUAAUCAUAUGGACUUCCAUAUGGACUUCUAAUUAUUGUCUGUAUUAGAAUUAUAUGAGGUAAUGCCUAGAAAGCUUCUAGCCAUAGCAAUUACUCAUUAAAUAUUAGGCAUAGAUAGCUCAAGGAACUUUAUGAUUAAAUCUUUGAUCAAAAAUAAUAAUUUUAAUAAAAACUUUUCCAACUUACAAACCCUUUGAUUGACCAUAUAUCAUUUUACUCUUUCAACAUCCUAGAGAUGGGUGGUGAUAAUUCACUUUUUAAAGAUUAGGAAAUUGAGGAUCAGUGAGCUAAAGUUACUUAUUCACGAUCCCAGUAAGCAAACAUGGGUUCUAACCAAGUCUUCUAACUCCAGUGCCUCUAUUCUAAUUUAUCAAUUCAGCAAAUUUCUUUACUGUGACCUGUGACACUAGACAGUUUGCUGGGAUGCAAUCAUCACUAAAACAGACACAGUCUCUCUAACCACAGGACCUUUAAAUGUAGCAGGCCUUUAGACAUUAAAACAUUAUUUUGGUGAGUAUUAGCAAAGAAAGUUCAUGAUUGUCCUUAGAGACUAUAAGGGAAACCAAGCCUUCCUAGAAGUUUUUUUUUUUUUCUUUCCUGAAGACAUAACAUUUAAUUGGAAGGAAAAGUGAAACCUAGGUAGGCUAUAGAGAAGGAGGAAUAGGAAUUCCACAUGGUAGAAAUCUCAUGAGUAAGAGCCUGGAGGCUGAAAAAGGAAAUGAUGUCCAAUGUGGUUUGAGGGGAUUGAGUAAGGGGGAGAGGGUGUGGGAGGGUUUGGGAGAUGAGAAAAUGCAUCCUGGAUCUCACUGGCCCCGAUCUUAAGGACUCAGGACAUUUGUUCAUGGACUGCAGAAGCUGCCAAUGGAAUAGAGUGAUGGAUUUACAUUUGAAAACAUAACUGGCAGAGGGGAUUCAUUAUAGAGGAGUCAUGCUUCUAUGGAAGAGGAGGGAAUGGAAGAGAAGAGACCCCAGGGCAACAUCCUGAAGAACCCUCCAUUAUGAGUGUGGAGGAAAUUAUUUGAAAUUACAGCUGGUCCAUCCCACCUCUCAACUGGCAGAGUCAACACUAACCUUGAAAUUGGUAGAGAAGAUAGCAGACUGCUUCCUGCAGACAAGAGGAAAAACAAUUUUUUAAUUGUAGUUUCUAACCCAAAGGCCUCUUCCAAAGACUGCUUGGCUGAAUUAUAUAGAAACUUAUUAAUAAACAGAAAUUGUCUGCAAAAACUAUCUAGAGCUAUAGAACUGUUUAGUCAGAGGAACUUUUUUUUUUUUUUCUAUUCAAUACAAAACAGGUAUUGUCUUGGAGAGUAUUUAUAUCUCCUGAUGUACUUGAUAUGUAACGUACUGAUACUACAGGUUAUUGGUCUAACUGUGGAAGGCCCUGCAGUUUAACUUAUGCCCAACUCGCUCCUGGGACACUGUGGGAAUAAGUGUUUGUUUGCAAGCAAAAUACGGAGGUUGUGGGAGUGGUUAUUUCCUUUGGCAGUACCAUUGGCAUUUAUGGAGGAGACCAAAAAUGGAAGAUGAAACCACUGUAUUAAAAAAUUCAGUCAUAAAAAAAGAAUCAAAUAAUUCCAUCGCAGCAACAUGGAUGGACCUAGAGAUCAUCAUACUAAGUGAAGUUAGUGAAAGACAAACAUCAUAUGAUAUCACUUAUAUGUUGAAUCGGAAAAAAAAAAGGAUACAAAGGAACUUAUUUUCAGAAUAGAAGCAGACUGGCAGACUCUGAAAAAACAUUUCCAAAGGGGACAGGUUGUGGGGGGAUGGGGAUGAACUGGGGUUUGGGAUUGGCAUAUGCCCACUGAGGUAUAUGGAAUGAUUGACCAACGGGAACCUGUUGUCUAGCACAGAGAACUCUACCUAAUAUUCCAUGAUAAUCUAUGUGGGAAGAGAACCUGAAAGUGAAUGGAUGAAGGUACAUGUAUAUAUAACUGAAUCACGUUGUUGUACAGCAGAUAUAAUCACAACAUUGUA